UCACAGAGAGGGAGCAGUGAGAAAGGGUUUCACUGAACUCCUGUUGAAGGGAAUAUUUAAACUUCUUCACAGUAAGCAUCCCUAAACCUACUUUAAACUUCUUCAGGGUAGGCAUCCCUAAAGAGCGUUCCACCAGCAUGUUGUGUGUGUUGCUUGGAUUUCCAGCAUCUGCGGAUUGUCACUUGUUUGUGAUUGGGAUAUUUAAAGAUGCCAUGUAAAUGCGAGAUUACUCUCUUUCAAUUUACAGGUUACUUGUUCAUGCAAACUUUCCAGGGAGGAAACUAUGCAAUAAAAACAAAACGCCAGCAACAUUCAGCAGGCGGGAGAAAGAAAAACAGGAGUUAAUGUUUCAGGUUCAGGGACACGUAUCAGAACUGGGAAAGAGUGAGUGAGAACUAACCUGUUACCUCAAGUUAGUUUUUAUUUCAGAUUUCUAGCAUUUGUGGCCUUUUAUAUACAUAUUCAGAAAACUAUACAACCUUCCGGCUGGGAAGAAGGCCACAGUUACGUAGGUUCCAAAGUUAAAAUCUGUGUAUCUGAAAAACACUUCACCAACAGUUUAAACACAGGAGUGUGUGGUGAUGUUACUGGAAAAUCAAUGUUUCCCUUUGCUAAUCAUUUGGAAGUUAAUUUUUAACUUUUAUGUUAAAACUUACAUCAAAACAUGAAUAUAAAACCCGAAGUAACACUCAGAGGAACAGAUGAACUACAAUGCACAUGAAGGCAGGACUGAGUAUAUGUGGCAUGAUUCAUGUUAAUGGUUUGGUGACACUCUCCUUAAAUAAUUCAGCUCUGAAUGUUCAAUCAUUCUUGGAAAAUGCAGCAAUGUGUUGUUAUAAACUGCUUUUAAUUUAACUCAAAGUGCAAAUCAGUACAUAGAGACAGAAAAUUGCUGCAGCAUUCUUAACAGAAAGAAGCUGUAACAUUGCCACUUUUGAUUAAGGGACAUUUCUCAUGAAAGAGAUUCCAAUAACUUAUCUGCAAACACGCACAAAAUGCUGGGGGAACGCAGCAGGCCAGGCAGCAUCUAUAGGAAGAAGUACAGCCAACGUUUCGGGCUGAGACCCUUCGUCAGGACACGUUUGCGCCAAUAACUUAUCUGCUUUGUUAGAGAAGAAAAAUCUAACAAGAAAGCUGGCUACUUGAGCAGCCAAAAAUGUUAACCUAAGGAGUGAAAUCAGCAUCAGUGACAGAGAUGCACUCUAUUUCAAAAGUGAAUAUUACGAAAGUUUCUAGGGUGAGCAGUCAUAGAAUCAGUGACGGUAUGUCGCCUGGAAUGGAGAGCAUGCCUUAUGAGAAUAUGUUGAGUGAACUUGACCUUUUCUCCUUGGAGCAACAUAGGAUGAGAGGGAAAGAAGUCCAGAGUCCUCAGUCCACCUAAUCUGUACACAACUACAGACCCACCAGAACCUCUUUCUUAAAUGACCAAGGAAGCCACUCAUUUCAGGGACACUUAAGGUUUAAAGGAAAGGGAUACAAAUAUGGAAACAUAAUGGAUACAUAAACUGAAGACUACAAUUUGUGUGAAGGAAGAUUGCCAAUGCCAACCUGUUAGACUUAAACAUCUGCUUUUGUCUUCUAAUUACCAUGCAAAUCCAGGGGCUGAAUUGUCCCUACUCUUAGCUCUUCAUCUUGUCUCCAACUUCCAAGCUUACAUGUUGAAAUGCAAAAUAUCCAUGCAGCCAGCCUUCCACUCCAUCAGAGAUUCAUAUUUGAAUGCAGUAUGAGGCACCAGCUAACAGAACAGAGGGGAUGAAUGUAGUUCACACCCAGCUCCACGGCUUUAUGCCAGCAAUGUACAGUACAGGAAUCUCCAAGCAAGUAGCUCUUUAAUGUUGAGGGCCAGAUCCUCUGAACAGCUGUCUCAACUAAGCUGCCGCAUCAUAAGUCAGCUGCAAUGGCGGGGCAUCACGCAGGUAUGAAGGGUCAGCUUAGCCAGGUUAGGGUGAAUGGACAGACCUUGCAUCUCUGAGCUGGGGCAACAGGGUGGAUCUGAGACAAUCCAUCUGCUUCUUUGUUACAUAUAUUACACAUGAGAUCAUUGGGAUUUCCAGAUGCCAUUGCUGAACUUCUUGGAAUGAGGAAACCAGUGCAUAGAUAAAAUGCUAAGAAUGCUGAAGCUCCUGGUUUUAAUUAAGGUAGUUUUGUUACUGUUCAUUCAGUUUCCUCGCACCCCCUGAAGCACAAACUCCACCAAAGCAAUAGCAUUUACAAGAUCGCCAGCAAAAAUACCAGCAAUAGUUUUGAGCCACACACCCCGAACGAUGGAAGAGCUUAUCAAGUCAGGCAGCAUCUAUGGAAGGGAAGUACACAGUCAAUGUUUCAGGCUGAGACCAUUCUUAACGGAUACUAGAGUCGCGAUGAAGGAUCUCAGCCCAAAACAUUAACUGUUUAAUCCCUUCCAUAGAUGCUGCCUGACUUGCUGCUUACCUCCAGCAUUACUCCCCCUCAACUAAUAGGCUCCUGAACCAGAGGGGAUAACUUCACUCACCCCAACACUGAACUGUUCCCACAACCUAUGGACUCACUUUCAAGGACUCUUCAUCUCAGAUUUUUGAUAUGUAUUGCUUAUUUAUAUACUACUACUACUAUUAUUAUUAUUUUUGCACAGCGGUUGUUUGUCCUUGUGUGGUUUUUUUUAUUGGUUCUGUGGUGGUUCUUAGUAUCUACUACGAAUGUCUGCAAGAAACUGAAUCUGAAGGUUCUACUGUAUAUGGCAGCGUAAAUGUACUUGGAUAAUAAUUUGAACUUUGAUUUUGUGUGUGUUUCCAACAUCUGCAGAAUCUCUUGUUUUGGCAACAAUCAUGACAUUGUUAUUGAUGUUAUUUUGUUUCUUUUUAACUAUUUACUAUUUUUCAGGAUUCCUGUAUUAAUAUUAAACAGAACUGAAAUUCGGAAAUAGUGUUCACUGUUAACAAUUAAUGUCGUUUUGAAAAAUCCCUGGCUACAUUUGGUGCAGUAAUAGGGUGGACACAAAGUAGAGCAUACUAGAUGCAAAUUUAGCUCUGCAUCAAUGGAGUGACUACUUUCCUUACGUAAACCUUGGUAAUUGCAAAAGCAUUCUAAUCUGAAUUUAAGGGUUGCAUUGACGAGUCAUCAUUGGGCUGUUUCGUGCAGUUGGUGUGUAAUGAUGUCUGCCUCAGAGAUCAGCUGUUGUGAUGUCAUUGUUAAAAACUCAUGCAUCUGAUUGGCUGUGAUAAAAUCCAGGACAAAUCAGAAAUGAUGCUCUUCCAAGAUGAAAGUUUGUAUAAAUGAAGUUUAACAGCAAAAAGAGUGAAAGUUUGGGAAGAUUUUUUAAGAAAUGUAUUCAGCAUCACUUUUUUUGAAUGCAUAUGUAAAACAUUAUUUUGUUUAUCAUGGCCAAAUAAAUAUU